rnacentral:rRNA from 1 species
UACGUAGGGUGCAAGCGUUGUCCGGAAUUAUUGGGCGUAAAGAGCUCGUAGGCGGUCUGUCGCGUCUGCUGUGAAAACUCAGGGCUUAACCCUGAGCUUGCAGUGGGUACGGGCAGACUAGAGUGCGGUAGGGAGACUGGAAUUCCGUGGUGAUAGCGGUGAAAUGCGCAGAUAUCAGGAGGAACACCGGUGGCGAAGGCGGGUCUCUGGGCCGUAACUGACGCUGGAGGAGCGAAAGCAUCGGGGAGCGAACAGG